CCUACGGGGGGCAGCAGUGAGGAAUAUUGGUCAAUGGACGAGAGUCUGAACCAGCCAAGUAGCGUGAAGGAUGACCGCCCUAUGGGUUGUAAACUUCUUUUAUAUGGGAAUAAAAUGUUCCACGUGUGGGAUUUUGUAUGUACCAUAUGAAUAAGGAUCGGCUAACUCCGUGCCAGCAGCCGCGGUAAUACGGAGGAUCCGAGCGUUAUCCGGAUUUAUUGGGUUUAAAGGGAGCGUAGGUGGAUUGUUAAGUCAGUUGUGAAAGUUUGCGGCUCAACCGUAAAAUUGCAGUUGAAACUGGCAGUCUUGAGUACAGUAGAGGUGGGCGGAAUGCGUGGUGUAGCGGUGAAAUGCUUAGAUAUCACGAAGAACUCCGAUUGCGAAGGCAGUUCACUGGACUGCAACUGACACUGAGGCUCGAAAGUGUGGGUAUCAAACAGGAUUAGAUACCCUUGUAGUC
rnacentral:rRNA from 1 species